GUAGGGAAUAUUGCGCAAUGGACGAAAGUCUGACGCAGCGACGCCGCGUGAGUGAUGAAGGCCUUAGGGUCGUAAAGCUCUGUUGAAUGGGAAGAAAAAAAUGACGGUACCAUUCGAGGAAGGACCGGCUAACUUCGUGCCAGCAGCCGCGGUAAUACGAGGGGUCCUAGCGUUGUUCGGAAUCAUUGGGCGUAAAGGGUGUGUAGGUGGCCAUGUAAGUCAGGUGUGAAAGCCCCGGGCUCAACCCGGGAAGUGCACUUGAUACUGCGUGGCUUGAGUACCGAAGAGGGUAGUGGAAUUCCAGGUGUAGUGGUGAAAUACGUAGAUAUCUGGAGGAACACCGGUGGCGAAGGCGACUACCUGGUCGAGUACUGACACUGAGACACGAAAGCAUGGGGAUCAAACAGGAUUAGAUACCCGUGUAGUCC
rnacentral:rRNA from 1 species